UUUGGGGGGAUGCUGGAGCCUCUGGGGGAGGCGCCCUUACCUGCUUGGCCUGCUUUCCCUGGGAAGGAAGAAAGAAGCCCGGCCUGGGGUUUCUCACUUAAACCUUUGAAACAGAAAUAGCUGAGGUGGCGCCUCAGGAACGGGCAGGACGCGCAGCACAGUUUUGACGUGAUCAAGUCUCUGCGUGAGGACGGAGCGGCUGCCGGCCGGCCUGUCUGUCCUCAGCUGACCCUGGCCAGGGCUACCCCUGCUCCAGGGAGGGUUCUGCGCUCUGCUCUCCACCCCCGUCUGUCCGGGGCCCCUCGAGGCAGCCGUGACCGUGUCCUCCCUGCGCCUGCUCCGGCUGCCCGAGACUGAGGCUGGAACCUACCUCCGGCCCCGCUGCUGCACCCGGCGUAGGGUGCUCCUUCCAGCCAUGUUGUGCCGCCAUGGGCAGAGCCCGCAGGCCACCGGCGGACACCCCGCCCCUGCGCGUCCCCCUGCCCCAGCUCCUUGACCACAUGCUGGAGUCGGGCUUCUGCCCGCCACGAGCUGCUGUGCCCCCUGAUGUCCACGUCGCACACAGCCUGCCUGUCUGAGGGCUGCUGCAGUGAGAGAAGCUGGCGUCUUGCGAGGAGCCGUGGGGGCAGCGAGGUGGUGCUGUCUCGGCCCCUCCCACCCCAGGAUCCCGGCACUGGCCCUGGGUCCCGACCAACCUUGUGGGCGUCGUGGCGUCCACACAGGGAGACCAACGUGCUCUUAGUUGCGGCCACCCCACAGCCCACCAGCGACCCUAGAGGCGCGAAUGGGAUCUGGCGGCCUGCAGCAGCCCUGGGUGACCUGCGAGGUGACCCUGCCGACGAGUCCCGUGACGUGGAGGAAGACAGCAGCGCGCUUCCUGCUCCUUGGUCCGCCCGAUGACCAUGGGUAAUCGGCUGGGGAUCUCCGCUUCUCCGCGUGAACAGCAGCUCAGCAAAGCCGGCCCACGCGGCCCCCGAGACCCUCUCUCAGGCUGACAGCAGCUACUGCGCACAGGGCCCGAGGACGCCGGAGGGUGCGGCCGAGCGAGGCACAGGGCCGAACGUGGGUGCUGGAGGGCACCCUGGGGGGCCAGGUCGAGGGCCCCGGAAGCAGCCUGGGAAGCGGUCGCCCUC